UACGGAGGGAGCUAGCGUUGUUCGGAAUUACUGGGCGUAAAGCGCACGUAGGCGGCUUUUAAGUCAGGGUGAAAUCCCGGGGCUCAACCCCGGAACUGCCCUUGAAACUGGAGAGCUAGAAUCUUGGAGAGGCGAGUGGAAUUCCGAGUGAUAGAGGUGAAAUUCGUAGAUAUUCGGAAGAACACCAGUGGCGAAGCGACUCGCUGGACAAGUAUUGACGCUGAGGUGCGAAAGCGUGGGGAGAAACAGGAU
rnacentral:rRNA from 1 species